GUCAGAGAAGUUGCUCGUGGAGGUUGCCAGGGAGGAGGACAAGAGAUGCCUGGGGUUUGGGGAACGGUAGAGACAUCUCGGCUAAGCCUUCAUCUCCAGAGGCCCCUGGGCACGUGGCUCCCAGGAAUGUGUGUGGAAGAAAGAAUCACCCUCAGAAUUACAAAAAGCACCUGAGUCUGGUUCUCCGCUCUGCCACUUACUGGCUGUGUGACAUGACUAAGGCAGCUCUCAGACCCAAGUGUCCUCAUCUACAAAGUGGCUGUGGUGUUUGAAUGAGACAGCAUAUGGCCAAGGAUUUGUACAUGAGUCUGUGAGCGAAAUCCGUGCCCAACGGAGACAAGCGUUUCUCUACUUCUCCGCCUUUCCAUAGGCUUUUGGUUUUUCCCUCUGGUUUAAGGAUAUUAAAUCACUGGCACCUUUUAUUGUAAGCUGUCUUCUUUAGAAGUUGGUGACACGUGGCUACCAACUUUGUUUUAGAACGUGGUAACACGCGUUUUCCCUUGGCUGGCACCGGUGCCCUCUUCGUCUACUGUGUACCCCAAGUUGAUGAUGUCCGUUUCCUUGCUAUUUUGUUCAUUACUCUCUUUUGCUAAAUGGAUGUAAUUUGGCCUCCUCUCUCUUUCCCAGCAUAGGGGAGAUGCUUAUCUCUAACUGGGUGGCUGCUUUGAACCAUUCACAGAGGCCUUCACUGAAAGUGGGGCCCCACGUCCCAUUCCCAAGACAACCAUUGUUAGUUCUCGUGUAGACGAUGAACAUAGACACAGAUGCUGCGGACGGACCAACGAAUGACUCGACUUGGUUCUGAGGCACAUGGAGUCCACCUGAACGUCUCCCAUGCUGGAGUUCAUUCUGACGCUGCACACACCCAGAAGCAGAGGCAGAGAACUCCCAGUAACCUCCAGAAAAUCCAAUUUCCGGCGAUGUGCGACAAAACCACUAUUUAAUAGAUGCAAAUGUCGGGCGUGGAUAUUUUUAGGCUUUCUUGUCAGUGCGUGAGUCAUCUGGAGUGACAGAUUGCUUUCGGGUGGGGCUGGGGGGAGAGCAAGGAUCUUCUCCGAACCCCGUUCCUUCGCUGAUUUAUUGCGUACCUUUGACUCUCGUGAACCCUCUCGGCAAUAUUACAGGAAGCCGCCUGGCACUGACACCGCAUCACAAAUCAAUUUACCAAAUCAGUGAAACAGAACUGCGGCUCAGUUCCCUUUAAGGAAAAAGCAAGUACGAAGAUCUGGUCGUGCCCUGUCUGCUCUGCACACGUUUCAGACUCUCUCUUUUUGGUGGCCCCAGACCCUGGAGGCUGUCGCUGGGGAGGCUCCGCUGGCCCUUUUGCCCGGGUAACAGGUGAGGGAGAGUGACAGUGUGACAGUGCUCGGUCACCCUCGCUCUCCUCUCUCUGCAGCGGGAGAGACGGUCUGAGGAGCCCAAUCAGGUAGACCUGGGGUCUGUGACUUCCACAGCUGUGCCUCCAAGUGAUGCCUCUCAGCUUUUGCUGCUACAUCAUUCGAUUCACUUGGGGAGGUUUUUAAACUACCCAUGUCUGGACCUCGGUCGCAGAGAUUCUGUUUUGACUCAUUAGGGGUGACCCCACCCGCACUGUCCUUUCUGAAGGGAAGGGGGAGGAAGGGAGGGAGAGACCACGAAGGAUUCCCAUGGGAGCCCAUCGAAGGAAUGGACGAAUCUUGUUAUCGGUUCGUCCCCAGGUCCUGGCCCAUCACUUGGUACCAGAAAAUACUCCAGAAAGAACCAACAAGAGGCUGAAUGGAUGGUUGAGAAUGGGAACUAGAAAGCUUUGAAGACAAGCAGGAGGCCAAACAGUGUGGUGGGAAAACGGCUUCGGGGGGAGCGAGCUCUGAUUUAGUGCCGUCAUUUGCAAACUGGGUGCUUUGGGUAAGAAGCCCCCCUCUCUGACUCUUAGUUUUCUCAUCUGCAGAGCAAGGCGUUCGGAGCAGAUAGUUUCUAAUGUUCCUUCUCUGUUUCCAA